rnacentral:rRNA from 1 species
UACGUAGGGUGCAAGCGUUGUCCGGAAUUAUUGGGCGUAAAGAGCUCGUAGGCGGUUUGUCACGUCGGAUGUGAAAACCCGAGGCUUAACCUCGGGCCUGCAUUCGAUACGGGCUGACUAGAGUUCGGUAGGGGAGACUGGAAUUCCUGGUGUAGCGGUGAAAUGCGCAGAUAUCAGGAGGAACACCGGUGGCGAAGGCGGGUCUCUGGGCCAUAACUGACGCUGAGGAGCGAAAGCGUGGGGAGCGAACAGG